GUAUGUGUGUGUGUGUGUUAUCUUAACAACUAGCCUUGUCUUUCCCCUUCACACAGUAGUCGCAUACUUGACAUUUGAUUCAACCAUAGCUGAUCGUGCAGUAGAAGCCUUGUUCUCCUAUCACUGCCUAAUCGCACCAUUGAUCCAGAACCAGUCACAGAGGUUGACAAGAUUAUCAAUUCCCUACGGUUGAAGUAUAUGACAUACACAGUAUAAUUUGAAGUCGAUUGCGUUAGUUUAUUGUUUUUCCAUAAUUUGUUGUCUUAUUAUUUCAUAUUAUCUUACUCUAUGUUGGCAUAUUUUUGACCAAAGGAUUGGCUACUUUAUGAAAUUUUUAUGACAUCAACUUGGUUGCAUGGUUUACUUUAGUUUUCAUGGGCCUAGGUAGGUUUCAGAUCAAAAAACUCAAAUCCAAAAUCAAGAAAAAGAUAAACAUUCCUCUGUUUGUCCCUCCUAUAAGAUCUGCUAAUGAGAAAAAUGUCUUCAGAAGUAUUUUUGUUUCUAUGUCUGGUGUUUGGGAACUGCUUUGAUGGCUACUUUUGCUCUGUACUACUAUUAAGUGUUUUUUUUUUUUGUUUGGCAAACCUCUUGGUUGUGCAAGUAGUGUUUCAAAUUUUAACCUUAAUAUCUAGUGGUUUACAUUGUGCUCUUAUUAUUCAGAAUGCAAUGAAAAAUCAUUUUUUA